rnacentral:rRNA from 1 species
AACGCGAAGAACCUUACCAGGUCUUGACAUCCCUUGCAUAGCCUAGAGAUAGGUGAAGCCCUUCGGGGCAAGGAGACAGGUGGUGCAUGGUUGUCGUCAGCUCGUGUCGUGAGAUGUUGGGUUAAGUCCCGCAACGAGCGCAACCCUUACUAUUAGUUGCUACGCAAGAGCACCCUAAUGGGACUGCCGUUGACAAAACGGAGGAAGGUGGGGAUGACGUCAAAUCAUCAUGCCCUUUAUGACCUGGGCUACACACGUAAUACAAUGGCGCUUAACAACGGGAAGCGAUAUCGCGAGGUGGAGCAAAUCCCCAAAAAGCGUCUCAGUUCGGAUCGCAGGCUGCAACCCGCCUGCGUGAAGUCGGAAUUGCUAGUAAUCGCGGAUCAGCAUGCCGCGGUGAAUACGUUCCCGGGUCUUGUACACACCG